UACGAAGGGGGCUAGCGUUGCUCGGAUUGACUGGGCGUAAAGGGCGCGUAGGCGGUUUGUACAGUCAGACGUGAAAUUCCUGGGCUCAACCUGGGGCUGCGUUUGAUACGUGCGAGCUUGAGUUCGGAAGAGGGUCGUGGAAUUCCCAGUGUAGAGGUGAAUUCGUAGAUAUUGGGAAGAACACCGGUGGCGAAGGCGGCGACCUGGUCCGAUACUGACGCUGAGGCGCGAAGCGUGGGAGC
rnacentral:rRNA from 1 species